GCAGGGAUACCCGAGCUUGGCCUAAGGGGCAGGACUUAGGAUCCUGUGGUUAGUCCUUCGAGAGUUCAAAUCUCUCUCCCUGCA
rnacentral:tRNA from 1 species